UAGGGUGAUAGCAGAGCUGGGACUGCUAAAGUGAAGCGGCGAACCAAGCAGUAGUCAUGGCUUUGGCUACGGAAUUCAUAAGAAGCGGGCAAGCUAUACCAGCUUGUUCGGGCAUCGGAACCCACCAGUUCAUAGACGAUGCUAUGGAUUUCUGCAAUUUGUUUUAGGUGAAAAAAACCCAGGUCUAACACCGCAGCGAAGCCACGCUCGCGGUGUUUU
rnacentral:ncRNA from 1 species